CUAACUAAAUUCAACAACAUAUGGAAGCCACGGCUAUGAAGAACAGAAUAAAAUUAAUUUCCAACUCAAAUAUAACCUCUGUGUAAACAUAUGGUUGUGAGAACUGGAAACCCACCAAAAUAAUUAAAGAGAGAAACUAGAUGCCUGUGAAAACAGGUGCCUACCAAAGAUUCAGGGCAUUCAAAGAAAAGUUUCACCACUGAGGAAGGAAUGUGAGAAAUCUGCUGUCCCUGCAGAUAUCCAAGAUUUUCUUAAGCACUCCAGAUGCUAUUACAUGCUCCUCUGGGGUGCCAUCAGAUACAUUUCAGAAAACCCACUGGUGACUUUCAAGAGAAAAACUGAACAAGAAGCUUUAGGUAGGGGGGAUGAGCCCAUGGUCCUUACACCGUAAUGCUGGAAGAGCAGGAAGUGAUGGCAAAGGCUUACUACAAGUUGCUCAAGGAAUUUGUAACAAUGUUAUUUUCUCUCAUACAACACAGCCAGUAUAUGUAUUCUAAACAAAGAAUGGCUCCAGCAUACAGCCAAAAUACCUUCUGGGGAAAAGCAAAAUACUAUUAAGAAACUGUGUGCAUUAUGGGAAGAAAAACGACAUGCUAAAGUAGCCUUUGAAUAAUGCUGAGAUCUCCAGUUUCAAGCAUGAAUUUAAGAUUUUCAUGUGUCAUGUGAUGGUUCUUUGAGUAACCAGGUAUCAGCAAAGCUCAACAAGCAGGAAACAGGGCAUCUUAGCCAGCCACAUCUUUAAGAAGCAAGGUGGACAGCAUCUCAGCUUAUGUGAAUGAGGUAGAUCCACAGAGGUGAAAGGAGAUCUUACACUACCUGUGAAUCACAACUAAUGUUACUGCAACCGUACGGCUCCAAAGUCCCCAGAUAUUCCAGUCAACUUCACUGGGAAUGCUGAGGGAACUCCACACAAGAUGAGCUACAAAUCUAGAAAAGAAAAGAUUUUGGAAGGAAGAGCAAAGCCCUAGACUGAGACAGAAGAGAGUCAUCUGGUUGCACAGAAGCAUCAGUAAGUUUGAUGUUGUGCUGGUUUGUUACAUCAGUAAAAUUAUUUUGCAUCUGCCAGACUUCUUCUGUGACACAGCUGUGUCACCUUCAUAGGCAAAAAUAGCAAACUCUGCUAUUUACACAAGUAAGUUGC